rnacentral:rRNA from 1 species
GCAAGUCGAGCGGUAACAUUUCUAGCUUGCUAGAAGAUGACGAGCGGCGGACGGGUGAGUAAUGCCUAGGAAAUUGCCCUGAUGUGGGGGAUAACCAUUGGAAACGAUGGCUAAUACCGCAUAAUGCCUUCGGGCCAAAGAGGGGGACCUUCGGGCCUCUCGCGUCAGGAUAUGCCUAGGUGGGAUUAGCUAGUUGGUGAGGUAAUGGCUCACCAAGACUAUGACGCCUAACUGGUUUGAGAGGAUGAUC